ACUCCAACUUUGUUCUCUCGAAUCUCUCUCAAACCCUAACUCCAACUUUCCUGAUCGCAUUGAAACUCUCUUCUCUGGAACCCAUUAUUCUCUAAUGCUAGGAAUCCACAAAAUCGAGAAAGGGUGAAAGACGUGAACCCUAAUCUGUGUUUAUGUUUGUGUUGCGAUUGAAGGACCGAGACAUAUACCGACACGUCAACAAAAGCUUUCUAUAAGGGGGUUGAAACCUGGAAAAAGGAAACCAUAAUGGAAAAGGCAACCAUCCAACGGUUCUGGAGUUGAAGUGGAAUACAAGCCUCUUCCAAGUGGACCAAAUUGGUGUCCCUGUGAAGGACAACAAGAGUGUCACCAUUGAACAUGAGGAAAACUAUACGACAACUUGUUCAACAUGGUAUUGGGUACUAAACUUGUUACAGGUGAAAUGACAGAAAGAAUGACACUAAGCUAGACUGUGAUACGGAGAUUAUGAGAGUGAGAGAGAUUAUGUCAAUUAAAGACAGGAAAAUGAAGUGGCAGUUAAGAAAACAGGAAUGAAUCAAAGGGUGUUUGUGGUGUAUCGCCAUGUUCUUGCAAUGCGACCAUUGUAAUUGCUCCAAUAGCUUAUUUCGCACGCAGAAAUUCUCGGUCCUAUUACUUAAAUUUGGAGAGUUCCUCUUGGAUAUUCUUAAUCUCAUUCAUAGGAAUUAAAGAUGAGACCUCAAUUAUGCUGAGAAGGAUUAUGACGAGAAGGAUAGUAUUUUGGUGUAGCUGGCGCACGGUGUAGCUGAUACGCAUAUAUGAGUGUAUAUAUUUUUUGUUAGAAGGUAUUUUUUAAGUCUGAAAGUACAAAAUUUUUUUUCAUAGGAGGGAAUCUUGUUUUCUAGAUAAAUAGUUGUUGGAAUUAGUUUCUACAAUUUUAUUUUGGUUUUAACAUAAUAGCCCAUAAUGGCU